GAUUGAGAAAUCGAUACUUCAUUCGAUCUAGAGCUACUGGAACGACUGUGACUGGAACUGGAUAGUAACUAGGGUUUGCUUUCAUAGUUUUGCAUGCAACAUAAGUUAUAAACAAGAAGUGCAUGAGUAAGUGAAAACUGCAAUAAUCAACCAUAUCCCGCCCAAAAUUUUUGAAGUAUCUGUGAAAACCCACUGGUUCCACAUGACACCACUGUGUUCUGGUUUGUACACAUCGCUAGAUGGCAGCAACAACAGGAUCAUGAGCAUACAAGAUAUUUCUGCCAGCUCGUAAUCAAGUGAAUUCAUGGAUUUGUUACAUCAGUUCUGCUAAUGAAGUGAUGUUAUUUUUUAGUAUUACAAGCUUCUAAACAAAUGGGUCCAUGUGGACACAGUGGGAACAUUAGUAUCUUGGGAUGUCUAAAUUAUCAACAGAAGUUAUUAUGAUGAAUGAUGAAGCUUCUGAUGGUAUCAAAAAACUGCAGGAAUAUUUGGAUGAUGAAGUGAUUGAAAAUAAUGUGGACUAAUGGAAGACUCAGAUGCAGUGAGGGAAGAGCCUUGUAAUGGUUUGCCAGUUGAGCCUGUUUCUCAGUCUUUUGACUCUAAUGAUAAUGAAACAGAAAUUACCACUAGGCCUACUCUUUGUAAUGGUGAUAGUGAUGAUUUGAUGUUCCAUUGGCUCAAAUAAUGAAGAAACUACAAAAUAAAACCAGCAGCUGUAUAGGGAAAUCAUA